UACGUAGGGGGCAAGCGUUGUCCGGAUUUAUUGGGCGUAAAGAGCGUGUAGGCGGUUUGGUAGGUCCGCUGUGAAAACUCGAGGCUCAACCUCGAGACGCCGGUGGAAACCAUCAGACUAGAGUCCGGAAGAGGAGAGUGGAAUUCCUGGUGUAGCGGUGAAAUGCGCAGAUAUCAGGAAGAACACCCGUGGCUAAGGCGGCGUCUCUAGUACGGUACUGACGCUGAGACGCGAAAAGCGUGGGGAGCGAACAGG
rnacentral:rRNA from 1 species